rnacentral:rRNA from 1 species
AUUUUUAACACCGGGGAAACCAGUGUUUUGGCCCAUUGGUUUACGCCCAAAGCUUUUUUUGGGGGACCACUUUUAGAAAUAAUCCAAAGUAUUGGAUUCCAAACGCGUUGGGGAGUUUCUCCCCCAAAAUGGUCGGACCCUGACAGGGAGGCCGCAAAAUUCAACUUGGUGAUUUUUGGGUCAUUUUAGAGGAAGUUAAAAGUUGUAACCAAGGGUUUCCGGUAGGUGAACCCUGGGAAAGGGAUCAUUAACGGAAACUGACACACCCGGGGUUUCUCCGGACAAGGGUUUCUUAAGGUGGGCAACCGCCGAGGCGUUCCUUGUGGUGGGAGUGCUUGUUGAAACACUUGAUUUUCUGCUGUGGGGGUACCUGCGCGUCCGGGCCUAUUAGGACGUGAGAGCUUGUACUCUAGUACCCCGCGAGGUUCAAAGAGGUGCCGGGUCCUUAGGCAUUCCGCCCCUGCAGCAGGUUUUGUUCUUUUUCUCAUACUGUUUUCAAACAUUACUGGAGCAGGUCCUCUAGGACAGGCUCGGUGGAGAGGCAGAUCGUUGCCCUGCCUGCUCGACCAAAACUUUGAAAAUAUAACUCUAAGCGGUGGAUCACUCGGCUCGUGUGUCGAUGAAGAGCGCAGCCAGCUGCGUGAAUUAAUGUGAAUUGCAGGACACAUUGAACAUCAACAUCUUGAACGCAUAUUGCGGCUUCGGGGUUCCCCCCGAGGCCACGCCUGUCUCAGGGUCGGUUUACUAGCAAUCGCAAGGUUCUUGCUUGCGCUCUGGGCUGUCGUAGGGAGCACCUCUCGUGUUUUCUCUCCGUCGCCUCUAGUACAGACCGGUUCCCAUCUCGAGGAACCUCCCUGUCCACGGCUGGCCUGUCAGCUGUCUGGGCGGUGGCUCGGUGCUGAUCUGCCCUGGCCUACUGCUUCCCAGAUGACUGUCAGUCUGCCUAGGACAAUUUUCCCAUUUCGACCUGAGAUCAGACGAGAUUACCCGCUGAAUUUAAGCAUAUCAA